UACGUAGGUGGCGAGCGUUGUCCGGAUUUACUGGGCGUAAAGAGCGCGCAGGCGGUCGUUCAAGUCGCGUGUGAAAGCCCCCGGCUCAACUGGGGAGGGUCACGCGAUACUGAUCGACUCGAAGGCAGGAGAGGGAAGUGGAAUUCCCGGUGUAGUGGUGAAAUGCGUAGAUAUCGGGAGGAACACCAGUGGCGAAGGCGACUUCCUGGCCUGUUCUUGACGCUGAGGCGCGAAAGCGUGGGGAGCGAUCCGG
rnacentral:rRNA from 1 species